rnacentral:rRNA from 1 species
UGCCAGCAGCCGCGGUAAUACGAAGGGACCUAGCGUAGUUCGGAAUUACUGGGCUUAAAGAGUUCGUAGGUGGUUAAAAAAGUUGAUGGUGAAAUCCCAAGGCUUAACCUUGGAACUGCCAUCAAAACUUUUUAGCUAGAGUGUGAUAGAGGUAAGUGGAGUUUCUAGUGUAGAGGUGAAAUUCGUAGAUAUUAGAAAGAAUACCAAUUGCGAAGGCAGCUUUCUGGAUCAUUACUGACACUGAGGAACGAAAGCAUGGGUAGCGAAGAGGAUUAGAUA